CCUACGGGAGGCAGCAGUGGGGGAUAUUGCACAAUGGGGGGAACCCUGAUGCAGCGACGCCGCGUGGGUGAAGGAGUGCUUCGGCAUGUAAAGCCCUAUCGGCAGGGAAGAAGCAAGACGGUACCUGACUAAUAAGCCCCUACUAACUACGUGCCAGCAGCCUCGGUAAUACGUAGGGGCCGAGCGUUAUCCGGAUUCACUGGGUGUAAAGGGAGCGUAGACGGCCAUGCAAGCCAGGGGUGAAAGCCCGGGGCCCAACCCCGGGACUGCGGGUGGAACUGGGCGGCUAGAGUGCGGGUGGGGCAGGCGGAAUUCCUGGUGUAGCGGUGAAAUGCGUAGAUAUCAGGAGGAACCCCGGCGGCGAAGGCGGCCUGCUGGAGCGCGACUGACGUUGAGGCUCGAAAGCGUGGGGAGCGAACAGGAUUAGAUACCCCUGUAGUC
rnacentral:rRNA from 1 species